rnacentral:rRNA from 1 species
UACGUAGGGUGCGAGCGUUGUCCGGAAUUAUUGGGCGUAAAGAGCUCGUAGGCGGUGUGUCACGUCGGCCGUGAAAACCUGGGGCUUAACUCUGGGCGUGCGGUCGAUACGGGCAUCACUAGAGUUCGGCAGGGGAGACUGGAAUUCCUGGUGUAGCGGUGAAAUGCGCAGAUAUCAGGAGGAACACCGGUGGCGAAGGCGGGGUCUCUGGGCCGAUACUGACGCUGAGGAGCGAAAGCAUGGGGUAGCGAACAGG